UUUGAAGUUGAAGAAUGUAAAGACACUAUGUUUGUUGAAAAAGAUCAUGUAUAAGUUGAGCGAAUUCAAAAGCCUGGUGUACAGUAGGAUUAAUAAUUGUUUGUCUCAAUGGAGUGCAACAGACACCAAUUUUUAAGCUACUUUGUAUGUCCAACAAGUAAACAAACAUGUCUUGAUCAUAUCACUUUAUGUUGGUGAUCUCCUCGUGACUUGAAACAACAAGGUUUGAUGGAUA
rnacentral:lncRNA from 1 species